rnacentral:misc_RNA from 1 species
GUGAUCGACAUGGUGAGCCUUCAUCUUAAGAAGGCCGGCGGCUUCACCGUCAGCUACGCCCUCGAUGGGCCCGCGGGUCUCCGCCAGGCCCGUGAGGAGCUUCCGGCGCUUAUCCUGCUCGAUCUGAUGCUGCCGGGGAUGCCGGGUUUGGAGAUUUGCAAGGUGCUCAAAUCCGAGUCGCGGACGCGCAGCGUGCCGAUCAUCAUGUU